GUGCCGUAAGUCGUACUGUACAUCACUUUGCAACGUUUAGCGUAACCUAGAACUGCAUGCGAAAUCACGUCGACGUAUGCAGCAGGUCGUGAACUCCCGUGUAGCGUCGCAUGCGUAGAUAUCGGUACGGAACACCUCUAUCGAACGUGCUCACUGGACACAACUCACGGUAUGUCAUGCAAGCUACUGCAGCAAACAUGGAUUAGAUACCCUCGUAUUCCUAGCACUAAACGAUGUUGCUUGAUGUGUUUGCGUACCCAAUCCCGACGAUUCCGAAGCUAACCCGAUAAGCACACCGCCCUGUGAGUCACGUCCACCAGGGUAAACUCCCAUGCAAUUUACGGGGUCCGCCCAAGCUUUGGCACAUGACUUUCAAUUCGCCCUACGCGAAGAACCUUCCCUGGGCUCGAAGCGCAGGUACCGCGGGUAGAAUUUCCCUUUCUCGCGACAAGAAUGCUGCGGAGGGUUUUUUCUGGCCGGUCGUCAGCUUGUGUUGUGCGGUUGUUGAGGUAAGUCCGUCCCCAGAGCGCUCCCCUUACCCCUAGUUGCCAUCGGGUCAAGGUCUGGCCCUCUAGGGAAAACUUCCCCGGAUAACGGGGAGGAAGGUGGGGAUGCCGUCUAGUCCUCAUGGCCUGUAUGUCCAGGGUUACACACGUGCUACAAUUGUUGGUACAAACGGUCGCAAACCCGCGAGGGGGAGUUAUUAGGAAAAAGCCGACCUCAGUUCGGAUUGGAGUUUGCAACUGGACUCCAUGAAGCUGGAAUCGCUAGUAAUCGCAGAUCAGCACGCCACGGUGAAUACGUUCCCGGGCCUUGUACUCACCGCCCGUCACAUCGCGAAAGUGAGCUGUACUAGAAGUCGGUGAGCUAACCGCAAGGAGGCAGCCGCCCAAGGUACGGCCCAUGAUUGGGGCGAAGUCGUAACAAGGUAACCA
rnacentral:rRNA from 1 species